GGCUCCUUAGUUUAGUCGGUCCAGAAUACUAGACUUUCAAUCUAGAGACGCGGGUUCGAUCCCCGCAGGAGCUA
rnacentral:tRNA from 1 species